UCCGGUUUAACACCGGCAGUCCCACUAGAGUCCCCGGCAUAACCCGCUGGCAACAUCGAACGAGGGUUGCGCUCGUUGCGGGACUUAACCCAACAUCUCACGACACGAGCUGACGACAGCCAUGCACCACCUGCACACAGGCCACAAGGGAAUACCUAUCUCUAGGCACGUCCUGUGCAUGUCAAACCCAGGUAAGGUUCUUCGCGUUGCAUCGAAUUAAUCCACAUGCUCCGCCGCUUGUGCGGGCCCCCGUCAAUUUCUUUGAGUUUUAGCCUUGCGGCCGUACUCCCCAGGCGGGGCACUUAAUGCGUUAGCUACGGCACGGACGGAGUCGACACCGCCCACACCUAGCAUCCAUCGUUUACGGCGUGGACUAC
rnacentral:misc_RNA from 1 species